UUAGCAACACUGGUGGCUGUUAACUGAACUACAGCAAAUAUUGCUCGUGCUCGCACACAUGCACACGUAAACUGAACGUAAUUAAAGGCCCCAAUAUACUCAUGACGAAGUUCUUUUUCGUUUUCUCCUAAGAAGUAAAAAUAAGUUUGGACAUACCUUUGCAGAGAUAUACUGUUAAUGAACAUCCAGACGCCGUCUCCUGAGAGUGACUGUUAGAUAAAUGUGCUGCGCGCGCCGCUUUCUUCUCAAUAAAAAAAUAAAUAACAAAAAUGGCAGCGGUAAGCAUCUGAUCUGUUUUCACCGGCAUCAUGUCAACGGAUGAGGCCAUCAGAAUGAUUCAUGGAGUGGAUAUUGGAGUAAAGCUGUUGGCUUGUGGCUUGGGAACUGUAAGAACUGGAUUAGACUGUUUUCGGCCUGUGAAAGUAGAAAAAGAAAAUACCAACAAGCCAACAAUCCAAGGUCCAUAGUGGUCUUGUGUGUGUGUUAUCAGUGGAGUGCCAGUGAGGUGGGGGAUACAGUGGCAUUAUACAGUGGUACUGUGGCAUGAUGAAUAAUGCCAGGCUUAGAAGAUGCGCCCAAGCCAAGAUUUGAAAAGCUUUGAAAGCUUUACCAGUACAAGAGGAGGAGGAAAAUAUCUGCCUGAUUGUUCUUAAGAAAAACAUUUCUAUAUGAACAAUUCUGUUUGUUUUUAAUUAUAUUCAUUUUAUUGCAUUCUUCUUUUUUAUUGCUGGAUCUUGUGAACAUCUGAGACAUUUUAAAACGGAAGAGAAAGAGGAAAAAAGUAGUAAUAUGCACUUACCUAUAAAAAUGCUCCUUUGGUGCAGGGUUUAAGUAAAGGCCAGUAUUUACUAUACAGUAUCUGAGGUGAUUUUGUCAAGUGCAUGGUUUCCUACAGAAAUUGCUGUCACUCUUUACCUCUAACAUCUGCUUCCAUUAAAAGCCACUCAGAAUGGUAAUUUGGUGACCUGCUGAGCCCCGAAGCCAUCUCUACUGAAGCACACCUGUGCUUUUCUAAGAGUAUAAUGGGAUCAGGACUAUUAGCUGGCAAUUAGAGAUUGUUUAAACCUGAAGUAUUACCAGAUCACAUUACAGGCACCGGCCAACAUUUAGACAAGUUCACAAGUGCAAGUCACCCAGACAGAAAUGGAAGCCUCUUUAAUGCUUAUAUGUUUUUGGCUUAAAUGUACACAUUUGCCCUUGUGCUGAGAUUUUAGUAUACAGGCUGCUUCGAUAUAAAUGCUAUGGAAAAUUUGUUUGUGGAGCAAUAAUUAACACCUGGCAUCAAAAAUUGGUCACUGCCUUAAAAGUAUAUUUUUAUGGCUUUUUAAUUAUUAUUUUUUGGUUCAUAGAUGAACACUUAAAAUAAAUAAUGUCACCUGCAUUUAUAUAAAUAUUUGAGUUAUUCCCACAGCUAUGACUCUCUUCAUUUGCAAGAUCUAGUUACUGACAACAUACAUCAUUUCACAUUAGUAGAUGACAUAACUCAUACUUGAAGCAGCCGGGUAGGAGUCGCUUAACUAAACAUUUAUAUUAAAGAGACAUUGUGCACCGUGUGAAUUUGAUAACUUUUGAUUGACCCUUGUGGAUUAUUAAAUCUUAAGAACACACAGUGACCACGAUCUGUGUAGAACUGGUAAACAUGUCCAAGAGCUUACUUAAUGUUUCACUUGUGGACCAAUUUGGCCUGCCCAACACCCUGCAGCUGUUAACAUACCGUGAAAUGCUCAGACUGAGCCAAAAGACAGGAAGUGGCUUGUAUUUAGCCAUCGACUUGAUAACUACCUUCUUUUUUCUUUUUUAUGAGAAACGAAAGAAAGAAAGAAAAACAGUUCAGAAAAACAUUCAAUUACACACAGCCAAACUGAAAUUACUGAUGUGCAUUUAAAUUACAUUCAUAACAUGUUAUUGUACACUCAAUCUGUCAGUAGGCAAUAAAUCAACAUUUUGAAAAGUGUUUUUGUUUGUUUUAAAAACCACGUGUUAAAGCAUGUCGCUCUAGCCACUGAAAUACUGUUAAUGUCAACAUGCCGCCCUCUAGUGUUCAAGAGACACUUUACUGUGAAUGGAGACAUUUCUAGCACAAAUAAAAUAAAUCUAAGACUACA